GAGCUUCGCAGCGGCUCCUCCUCCCAAUCGCCGCUGUGGAUCAGACCCGCACCUCCUCCUCCCAAUCGGUGCGGGUUGUCUUAGACGCUCGCCGGGUCCUCCCCCGGCGAGCGCAAGGU
rfam:Aurantimonas sp. Leaf443 contig_7, whole genome shotgun sequence.